AUUGAACGCUAGCGGGAGGCCUAACACAUGCAAGCCGAGCGGUAUUGUUUCUUCGGAAAUGAGAGAGCGGCGUACGGGUGCGGAACACGUGUGCAACCUGCCUUUAUCUGGGGGAUAGCCUUUCGAAAGGAAGAUUAAUACUCCAUAAUAUAUUGAACGGCAUCGUUUGAUAUUGAAAGCUCCGGCGGAUAGAGAUGGGCACGCGCAAGAUUAGCUAGUUGGUGAGGUAACGGCUCACCAAGGCAAUGAUCUUUAGGGGGCCUGAGAGGGUGAUCCCCCACACUGGUACUGAGACACGGACCAGACUCCUACGGGAGGCAGCAGUGAGGAAUAUUGGUCAAUGGGUGCAAGCCUGAACCAGCCAUCCCGCGUGAAGGACGACUGCCCUAUGGGUUGUAAACUUCUUUUGUAUAGGGAUAAACCUACCCUCGUGAGGGUAGCUGAAGGUACUAUACGAAUAAGCACCGGCUAACUCCGUGCCAGCAGCCGCCGUAAUAC
rnacentral:rRNA from 1 species